GAUGAACGCUGGCGGCGUGCUUAACACAUGCAAGUCGAACGGGAAACCUUUUAUUGAAGCUUCGGCAGAUUUAGCUGGUUUCUAGUGGCGGACGGGUGAGUAACUCGUGGGUAACCUGCCUUAUACAGGGGGAUAACAGUCAGAAAUGGCUGCUAAUACCGCAUAAGCGCACAGAGCUGCAUGGCUCAGUGUGAAAAACUCCGGUGGUAUAAGAUGGACCCGCGUUGGAUUAGCUGGUUGGUGGGGUAACGGCCCACGAAGGCGACGAUCCAUAGCCGGCCUGAGAGAGUGAACGGCCACAUUGGGACUGCAACACGGCCCAAACUCCUACGAGAGGCAGCAGUCGGGAAUAUUGAACCAUCGGGCAACAAUGAUGCCGCCACGCCGCGUGAAGGAAUAAGUAUCUCGGUAUGUAAACUUCUAUCAGCAGGGAAGAUAAUGACGUUACCUAACUAAGAAGCCCCGGCUAACUCCGU
rnacentral:rRNA from 1 species